rnacentral:rRNA from 1 species
UACGGAGGGGGCUAGCGUUGUUCGGAAUUACUGGGCGUAAAGCGCACGUAGGCGGACUGUUAAGUCGGGGGGUGAAAUCCUGGGGCUCAACCUCAGAAUUGCCUCCGAUACUGGCAGUCUCGAGUGCGGGAGAGGUGAGUGGAAUUCCCCAGUGUAGAGGUGAAAUUCGUAGAUAUUGGGAAGAACACCAGUGGCGAAGGC